CGGUAGCUAAAUGCGGAAGAGAUAAGUGCUGAAAGCAUCUAAGCACGAAACUUGCCCCGAGAUGAGUUCUCCCUGACCCUUUAAGGGUCCUGAAGGAACGUUGAAGACGACGACGUUGAUAGGCCGGGUGUGUAAGCGCAGCGAUGCGUUGAGCUAACCGGUACUAAUGAACCGUGAGGCUUAACCUUACAACGCCGAAGCUGUU
rnacentral:rRNA from 1 species